UACGUAGGUGGCGAGCGUUGUCCGGAUUUACUGGGCGUAAAGAGCGCGCAGGCGGUCGUACAAGUCGCGUGUGAAAGCCCUGGCUCAACUGGGAGGGUCACGCGAUACUGUUCGACUCGAAGGCAGGAGAGGGAAGUGGAAUUCCCGGUGUAGUGGUGAAAUGCGUAGAUAUCGGAGGAACACCAGUGGCGAAGGCGACACGCUGGCCGUACCUGACGCUAAGCGCGACAGCAUGGGAGCAACGG
rnacentral:rRNA from 1 species